UACAGAUAAAUACAUAGAUAUAGAUUUGCAUUAUAUUUACCAUUGUAUUUUAUGUUGUUGGGUAUCACAAAAUGGAAUAUAAUAUGAAAAAGUAGGUACUAUCUUACAGCGGUUUGCAACGAUUCUCCUUUCCCCCACAAUGCAUUGCAUUACGUCACCUUGGGGAGAGAAUUUACCAAAGCCCACCUUGAGAGCGACUAGAGAGACGAGUAGUAGACAAGAGUAUUCAGAUAGCGCAGACUACAGAUAAAUACAUAGAUAUAGAUAGAUAGAUAGAUAGAUAGAUAGAUAGGCUAGUAUAGAGAGAGAUAUGCAGACAGACAGAUAGCAUAACGUUAGCAUAGAUAGCUAGCAGCUAGAUAGAUAAAUAGAUAGAAAUAUAUAGUAGGUAGAUUGACAAUGGUAAACUACUGUGUUUGUGCUGGGUGUAAAAACUCCACCCAAACAGGACACAGGGUCCAUGGCUUCCCUAUGAAGGACAAGGCAACAGUCAGACAGUGGGUACAAUUUGUCUGUGUUAGGUGGGCAUAUUUUUCAAUGACCUCUGUCACCACAAACUCGAAGAUCUGCAGCGCACAUUUCAGGGAGGAGGAUUACAACACAGGGGAUAUCAGGAUGGUUUCUCUUGGGCUGAAGAGGCUGAGCCAGGUACAGCUUAUAUCGACCGCCGUGCCAUCUGUGCACACGCACCUCUCUGCCUGCCCUGCCCCAAGACCAAGAGGCACUAACAUUUAAUAUUUAAUGGUGAUUGUGUUGCUGACCAUUUUGGAUUUCUUUGCGCAAGAUGUUGACAGAUGCCUCAAUGCAGGAGACCGCGAACAGUGUCGGUGCUACGAUAGAUGACCCCUUGCCCUCCUCCUCCACUUGUGACACAGUGACACAAUGUAAUUUGAAGCCCCCUGGAAUGUCUCACGCUGUGCAGGUUAACCUAAAGCCCAAGAUGGUCAGUGUGCGGACUCAAACGACUUUCAGGAUGCAAACUUCCACCCCCCUCACUAGUCCUGAACAAACUGAUGAAGAAGAGGAUCCCUCUGUCAUCAUCAGUGAUUCAUCAUGGGUGCCAGAAGACCAGAUGUCUGACGAGGAUGAGGAGGAAUUGUGUGAGGAGGAGCCAUCUCAAACUUGUCACCCCCACCAAAAGUGAGAUAAUUUAAAACCAACACAGACCAACUACAUUUGAUUUUCAUUUUUGUGUAUCUGGUAGUUUGAAUGACACCCCCAAAUUUGUAAUUAUCCCCAGGUCAGAAUCUCUAGGGCACUCUGCAAAGUACGGCUCAUACUUGUUGAUAGAGGAGAGAGUGAAUAAGGUGGUGGAUGUGCAACUUGUUCAGGUAAGCCUGAUGUUAUAUGACAAAGAAAGUAACUCUGUGGACCGCAACUUAUAUAGCACUUUUCCACUACUACAACCAUGCACAGGGCUUUAUCAUGUCUUUUAUCAUUAAUAAUAAUAAAUAAUAAUUAGUAGUAUUAUGCA
ensembl:lncRNA